AACGAACGCUGGCGGCAUGCCUAACACAUGCAGGUCGAACGAGACCUUCGGGUCUAGUGGCGCACGGGUGCGUAACGCGUGGGAACCUGCCCUUAGGUUCGGAAUCACUCCCCGUAAGGGGUGCUAAUACCGGAUAAUGUCUUCGGACCAAAGAUCUAUCGCCUUUGGAUGGGCCCGCGUUGGAUUAGCUAGUUGGUAGGGUAAAAGCCUGCCAAGGCGACGAUCCAUAGCUGGUCUGAGAGGAUGAUCCGCCACACUGGGACUGAGACACGGCCCAGACUCCUACGGGAGGCAGCAGUGGGGAAUAUUGGACAAUGGGCGAAGGCCUGAUCCAGCAAUGCCGCGUGAGUGAUGAAGGCCUUAGGGUUGUAAAGCUCUUUUACCCGGGAUGAUAAUGACAGUACCGGGAGAAUAAGCUCCGGCUAACUCCGUG
rnacentral:rRNA from 1 species